rnacentral:lncRNA from 1 species
UAUAUGGACCUAUAUUACCCUUUCACUUAACAGAUUCUUUAUGAGUAAUAAUUAAUUUUUUCAUUAAUGAUGUGGCAGUCUUUAAUUGACUAGAAUUUAAAUUAGCAAAAACAAUAAUUUCUCCAAAUCAAACCCGUAUGUAACUAAACUCUACCCGACCCACGUAAAAUUUUACUGACCCAUAUCUUUAAAAAAAAAAA